UUUCUCCGUAAGGCACAACCUUAUGGGUACCUCAUUCAUUUUUAUUUUUUAUAGUUUAUAAGAAAAAGGGCUUUCAAGGUCUAUUUCAACUUCUUCUCUCAUUUCUUUUAAGAUUAAUGCUUGAGAUAUUAUGGCCUGUUUGUAUGGGGGUGAAUUCUGAUUUUUUUUUUUUUUAUCCAUACGUUGUACCUGUUAUACUCAUUGUUUCCUAUCAUGUAAUUUUGCAGAAUUUUUUAUUCCGCAUUUGGGGAAGAGAGUUUGUUGUCCCAAGCUUAGUAUUCAGUAAAAGGUAUUGAAUACAACAAUCUGCUAGUUGAGUCCGCUCGCAUAGUUUUAUAAAAGAGAAAAGGUUAUAUUAUACGAUAGGUGAGGCCCAUUUCUUUUUUGUGGUGCCCACCCGUAUCAUUUUACGAAUUUUUUGCAGAUUCAAUAAAGGUACAAGUGGUGGGAUCCCAUCUUUCUUAAAAAAGAAGAAGAAUCAAAUCAAUCAUGACUUCUUUGUUUUCCUUAGUAACUUGGG